UAAGCCAUGCGAGUUGAAUGGGAUNNNAAAUUUCCCAUGGCAAACUGCUCAGUAACACAUGAUCAACUUACCCUAUAGAGAAAAAUAACCUCGGGAAACUGAGGAUAAUAUUUCAUAGUUGAAUAGGCUUGGAAAAGUUCUUCAAUAAAAGGGAUAAAAAAAAUGGUUUUUAUCUGCUAUAGGAUAGGACCGUGGACGAUUAUGGUUGUUGGUGAGGUAACGGCUCACCAAGCCGAUAAUCGAUAGGGGCCGUGAGAGCGGGAGCCCCGAGAUGGGUACUGAGACAACGACCCAGGCCUUACGAGGCGCAGCAGGCGCGGAACCUCCGCAAUACACGAAAGUGUGACGGGGUUACCCAAAGUGUUCAAUUCUGAACUGUGGUAGGUGAGUAAUGUUCCCUACUAGAAAGGAGAGGGCAAGGCUGGUGCCAGCCGCCGCGGUAAAACCAGCUCUUCAAGUGGUCGGGAUAAUUAUUGGGCUUAAAGUGUCCGUAGCCGGUUUAGUAAGUUCCUGGUAAAAUCGGGUAGCUUAACUAUCUGUAUGCUAGGAAUACUGCUAUACUAGAGGGCGGGAGAGGUCUGAGGUACUACAGGGGUAGGGGUGAAAUCUUAUAAUCCUUGUAGGACCACCAGUGGCGAAGGCGUCAGACUGGAACGCGCCUGACGGUGAGGGACGAAAGCCAGGGGAGCGAACCGGAUUAGAUACCCGGGUAGUCCUGGCCGUAAACGAUGCAUACUAGGUGAUGGUACGGCCAUGAGCCGUAUCAGUGCCGUAGGGAAACCGUUAAGUGUGCCGCCUGGGAAGUACGGUCGCAAGGCUAAAACUUAA
rnacentral:rRNA from 1 species